rnacentral:ncRNA from 1 species
UUUGUAAAAGGCAAACUCAGGGUGACCUGGGGACGCAAAGCUACGAGUCCUGUAAAGGAUAGUCGGGUUACCAAAU